UAACCCAGUACUGAGAUAUUCUUGGAAAUUAAAUGAGAAUCCAUAAAACAGCUGGCGUUUGGAUUCUGCGGCCGACCGGCUAUUUGGAGUGGAAUGCAGCCCACGGCAGACAGCCCAAACAGUAAUCGAACGCCUCCGAAGGAAACGGCCGCUGAACUGAGACACGCCUACUGAGCAGUAUAGUUUGUUUCUGUUAUUUCAUUGGACUAUUUAAUUAUCGCGGGAGCUGCCACUUUUUGCAGGUUAACGGUUGCGGCUCAGUGCGCGCCAAGUCUGUCUCUCAAGUCUGCCUUCCACGGAGCUGUAUGUACAUGAGCGGAGGAUCACAUCUGUAGCACUGGUUAACGGUUACGGCUCAGGGCGCGGCCAAGUCUGUCUCAAGUCUGCCUGCCACGGAGCUGUGUGCACAUGAGCGCAGGAUCACAUCUGUAGCACUGGUAAGCUAACCGUUUAUUUUCUUCAAACUUCAAUUAUAACACGGUGUGUUGUCAGGACAAUACUAACUUCUGUUUGUGAUUGAGUGCAUUUUGCAGCAAAACGUUUAUGUUCUGCAUUGCAUAAGUGUUUUUUCAAAUGUGUUGGCGCGAACUGCAAGCAAACAACGGUGUGUUGUCAGGACAAUACUAGCUUCUGUUUGUGAUUGAGUGCAUUUUGCAGUCAUAGUUAUAACGUCUACUGACCGGGAGUUAAUUUAAAUAGUCUGGUAACGUUAUUGAAGUAUCAUGCUAAAAGCUGAACUCUUUAUUUUCGUUUAAUUCAUGCUGUUGUGAAGUGGGGGGUUUGAAGCUACAUCUGAGGGGGUUCAAAGUUAACUGGCAGUCUACUUUUUUCUGUUCUUUCUGCCACUUCUUUCUCUCUUUUCUGUCUAAUUUGAGACGUUUAUGUUGCACAAUCUUUUUUGUUACUGUAAGCUCGUAAAGGGCUAGUUUGGAUGCUUAUGGAUACUUAUCCAUAGUCAGUGUAUUACUUGCAUGUCUUUGGAGGAACAGGCAGGAGUACGGGUACGUAUGUAAAGCUGUGGAUGGGUGCAGCAGCGAAACGUAUUUUAGCCACCUAAAAAUUCAGUUUACGUGUACGCUAUAUUUAUAAUAUUGUCACAAAUGUACCCUGCUGCUUCAGUCCCUAUCAGAAACAGACUGUAUAGCUGUCUGACAGAAAGGUAGAGCUUUGAAAAUAUUCUUUAAUAUAGCAUACACUAAGAGUAAUAUUGUUUUAGUUUUUUUGGUGGCUUAACUAUGUCCACAGCAGUGCAUUGCUUAGCUGUCUGCUGGUUCUCCUCUCUGUUUCUCCAAACUGUAGCUCCUACAACCCCCCUUCAAACAAUAUGAACUAUCCCCUAAAAGCAAGUCAAAUUGACAUUACAUUUAUCUCCCCUUAACCUGCAAAUACACAUACAUACAUUUUUGUAUUGAUGGUGAGCAAUUUAACAGACCUUAAAAUGUGUGCUAAAAUUGUUUUGUGAAAUAUUUCAGGAAGACAAGUCUUGUUUUAAUUUAGUUUGAAUUGUGUUUUUCUUCUUUUUUAGGACGAUCAUGCUAUUCUUCAAGGCGAUUCAUGCUGAGUGUGGAUCGAAACAUAGUACAGGACAACAUCCCCUCCUUGGUUUCUGCCCUGUCCAUGAUGUUUGGGAGCUAUUAUUGCUUCAACAUCGCCUACCCGUCAGAGCUGGCAUCCACCCUGGAGUUUGUCCAGAGGUGUUUUUUCUCCAUCAACCCAGAGAAGGGCACCAAAGUGGAGAAGACACGUGCAUCCCGUCUUCAGGUGAACCCGAGAGUCCUCACCUUGAUACAGGAACUUUCGGACCAUGAGUGGCGUGAUGUCUGAAUAUGGACAGUAAGAUCAAUGGCAUGUAGCGAUGUGCCCAAGUUACAGUUUGUUUGAUUGUUUAAAUCGUAGUUAAAAUUUGAAGUGCCUUUUUUUUCCCAUGUUCUUUUAACUAAUUUAAAAAAAUGCAAUAUGUAACUCUCAAAAUGUCAAACUAUUCUUUUAAGGUCAUUGUAAAAGCUCAGGACAUCACUGUUGAGUGUAAAAAUGUUGAUGUGUUACACUCCACUGGGUGGUUUUGUUUUGUUUUCCACUUGGGUUUUUGCUUCUGAAGUGAAGGGUCUCUGCUGACCCUACCUCUUCACCUAUCUCACUUAGACACACACACAUGUGUUUUGCAACUGUAGCUUCAUCACGUACACACUUCCUUUAGCAAUGAACAUGUAUUCAACUAAGACAAUCCCUUAUUUUGGCUAAGUUACAGCUCAGUCUGUGGCUGUGACAGUCGAGUAUUAUAUUAUACAGGUGCCCACUAUAAGAGAUGAGACAUAUAAAGUACUAAAAUAUUUAAAAACAUUAUUUCCCAUAAAUCAUUUGAUGUGAUGCAAGUAACCUCUCAACUUUGUUCAGCUUGAAUUUCCUGGACAAUGUGAGCUGUUUGUUUAUUGUGCAGCCUUAGUUUGUAUGUUUUACCAAUAUGUAUGUUGAGAAAUGACAGAUGUUUUUGAUCACUGCUAUUAUAUAUAUAUAUAAUAAAUUCUUGGAAAGGCAAGUUCUUGUUGGAAUUUUUUCAACUUUUAAUACAGUGGCUCUUGAGGUUUAUCUAGCUUUGCAUUUUAAAUUUUAAGUGCUUAAUCUGUGUACCCUGGAUUACAUUCUUCACAUUUCUGGUAAUAGUCAAACAUAUAUAUACGAAGGCAGUGUAGUUUAAAUGAAAUCUUUCAAUCUGACUAAUGUAUAGGAAAAACAUUUUUAUAUAUCAAUAAUCCUUACAGGCGG